rnacentral:rRNA from 1 species
UACGUAGGGUGCAGGCGUUAAUCGGAAUUACUGGGCGUAAAGCGUGCGCAGGCGGUUUGUUAAGACAGAUGUGAAAUCCCCGGGCUUAACCUGGGAACUGCAUUUGUGACUGGCAAGCUAGAGUAUGGCAGAGGGGGGUAGAAUUCCACGUGCAGCAGUGAAAUGCGUAGAGAUGUGGAGGAAUACCGAUGGCGAAGGCAGCCCCCUGGGCCAAUACUGACGCUCAUGCACGAAAGCGUGGGGAGCAAACAGG